GUGAGGAAUAUUGGUCAAUGGGCGGGAGCCUGAACCAGCCAAGUCGCGUGAAGGAAGAAGGAUCUAUGGUUCGUAAACUUCUUUUGCAGGGGAAUAAAGUGCAGGACGUGUCCUGUUUUGUAUGUACCCUGAGAAUAAGGAUCGGCUAACUCCGUGCCAGCAGCCGCGGUAAUACGGAGGAUCCAAGCGUUAUCCGGAUUUAUUGGGUUUAAAGGGUGCGUAGGUGGUUUGAUAAGUCAGCGGUGAAAGUUUGCAGCUUAACUGUAAAAAUGCCGUUGAAACUGUCGGACUUGAGUGUAAAUGAGGUAGGCGGAAUGCGUGGUGUAGCGGUGAAAUGCUUAGAUAUUACACAGAACACCGAUUGCGAAGGCAGCUUACUAAUCCAUUAUUGACGCUGAGGCACGAAAGCGUGGGGAUCAAACAGGAUUAGAAACCCCAGUAGUCC
rnacentral:rRNA from 1 species